rnacentral:rRNA from 1 species
GAUUAAGUUAUUAAGGGCGCACGGUGGAUGCCUUGGCACUAGAAGCCGAUGAAGGACGUUACUAACGACGAUAUGCUUUGGGGAGCUGUAAGUAAGCUUUGAUCCAGAGAUUUCCGAAUGGGGAAACCCAGCAUGAGUUAUGUCAUGUUAUCGAUAUGUGAAUAUAUAGCAUAUCAGAAGGCACACCCGGAGAACUGAAACAUCUUAGUACCCGGAGGAAGAGAAAGAAAAUUCGAUUCCCUUAGUAGCGGCGAGCGAAACGGGAAGAGCCCAAACCAACAAGCUUGCUUGUUGGGGUUGUAGGACACUCUAUACGGAGUUACAAAGGACGACAUUAGACGAAUCAUCUGGAAAGAUGAAUCAAAGAAGGUAAUAAUCCUGUAGUCGAAAAUGUUGUCUCUCUUGAGUGGAUCCUGAGUACGACGGAGCACGUGAAAUUCCGUCGGAAUCUGGGAGGACCAUCUCCUAAGGCUAAAUACUCUCUAGUGACCGAUAGUGAACCAGUACCGUGAGGGAAAGGUGAAAAGCACCCCGGAAGGGGAGUGAAAUAGAACCUGAAACCGUGUGCUUACAAGUAGUCAGAGCCCGUUAAUGGGUGAUGGCGUGCCUUUUGUAGAAUGAACCGGCGAGUUACGAUUUGAUGCAAGGUUAAGCAGUAAAUGUGGAGCCGUAGCGAAAGCGAGUCUGAAUAGGGCGUUUAGUAUUUGGUCGUAGACCCGAAACCAGGUGAUCUACCCUUGGUCAGGUUGAAGUUCAGGUAACACUGAAUGGAGGACCGAACCGACUUACGUUGAAAAGUGAGCGGAUGAACUGAGGGUAGCGGAGAAAUUCCAAUCGAACCUGGAGAUAGCUGGUUCUCUCCGAAAUAGCUUUAGGGCUAGCCUCAAGUGAUGAUUAUUGGAGGUAGAGCACUGUUUGGACGAGGGGCCCCUCUCGGGUUACCGAAUUCAGACAAACUCCGAAUGCCAAUUAAUUUAACUUGGGAGUCAGAACAUGGGUGAUAAGGUCCGUGUUCGAAAGGGAAACAGCCCAGACCACCAGCUAAGGUCCCAAAAUAUAUGUUAAGUGGAAAAGGAUGUGGCGUUGCCCAGACAACUAGGAUGUUGGCUUAGAAGCAGCCAUCAUUUAAAGAGUGCGUAAUAGCUCACUAGUCGAGUGACACUGCGCCGAAAAUGUACCGGGGCUAAACAUAUUACCGAAGCUGUGGAUUGUCCUUUGGACAAUGGUAGGAGAGCGUUCUAAGGGCGUUGAAGCAUGAUCGUAAGGACAUGUGGAGCGCUUAGAAGUGAGAAUGCCGGUGUGAGUAGCGAAAGACGGGUGAGAAUCCCGUCCACCGAUUGACUAAGGUUUCCAGAGGAAGGCUCGUCCGCUCUGGGUUAGUCGGGUCCUAAGCUGAGGCCGACAGGCGUAGGCGAUGGAUAACAGGUUGAUAUUCCUGUACCACCUAUAAUCGUUUUAAUCGAUGGGGGGACGCAGUAGGAUAGGCGAAGCGUGCGAUUGGAUUGCACGUCUAAGCAGUAAGGCUGAGUAUUAGGCAAAUCCGGUACUCGUUAAGGCUGAGC